AUGGUGACGGGAUCUUGGAGACGGAACUCGAAGUCGGGUUCGGGAUCCCAUGAGAAGAAGGGCUCAGGUGACAUACCGAUGUUGUUGAUGCAAGCGGAAGUCAUUGGUGGAUCAUGCACUGUGGUUAGUGGUGUUAAUGGUGUUGUGUUUACAUGGAGAAAGGAUGAGGUUACAAUGAUGUUGAUGGAAUCGAAAGGGAGUUAUGGGGUGAUGUGCGAUGGUGGUGGCUAUUAUGGUGGCCUUGUCGCCGAAGCUGCGUAG